rnacentral:rRNA from 1 species
UUGAACGCUGGCGGCAUGCCUUACACAUGCAAGUCGAACGGUAACGCGGGGCAACCUGGCGACGAGUGGCGAACGGGUGAGUAAUGCAUCGGAACGUGCCCAGUAGUGGGGGAUAGCCCGGCGAAAGCCGGAUUAAUACCGCAUACGACCUACGGGUGAAAGCGGGGGACCGUAAGGCCUCGCGCUAUUGGAGCGGCCGAUGUCAGAUUAGGUAGUUGGUGGGGUAAAGGCCUACCAAGCCUACGAUCUGUAGCUGGUCUGAGAGGACGACCAGCCACACUGGGACUGGGACACGGCCCAGACUCCUACGGGAGGCAGCAGUGGGGAAUUUUGGACAAUGGGCGCAAGCCUGAUCCAGCCAUGCCGCGUGCGGGAAGAAGGCCUUCGGGUUGUAAACUGCUUUUGUACGGAACGAAAAGACUCCUUCUAAUAAAGGGGGUUCAUGACGGUACCGUAAGAAUAAGCACCGGCUAACUACGU